UACGUAGGGGGCAAGCGUUGUCCGGAUUUAUUGGGCGUAAAGAGCGUGUAGGCGGCCAUGCAGGUCAGCUGUGAAAACUCGAGGCUCAACCUCGAGACGUCGGUUGAAACCGUAUGGCUAGAGUCCGGAAGAGGAGAGUGGAAUUCCCGGUGUAGCGGUGAAAUGCGUAGAUAUCUGGAGGAACACCGGUGGCGAAGGCGGCAUCCUGGACCAAUUCUGACGCUGAGUGAGCGAAAGCCAGGGGAGCAAACGGG
rnacentral:rRNA from 1 species